rnacentral:rRNA from 1 species
GUGCCAGCAGCCGCGGUAAUACGGAGGGGGCAAGCGUUGUUCGGAUUUACUGGGCGUAAAGCGCACGUAGGCGGCAGGGCAAGUCAAAGGUGAAAGCCCUCAGCUCAACUGAGGAAUUGCCUUUGAAACUGCUCUGCUUGAGUCCGGGAGGGGGGAGCGGAAUUCCCAGUGUAGCGGUGAAAUGCGUAGAUACUGGGAGGAACACCGGUGGCGAAGGCGGCUCCCUGGACCGGCACUGACGCUGAGGUGCGAAAGCGUGGGUAGCAAACAGGAUUAGAAACCCCAGUAGUCC